AGAGUUUGAUCCUGGCUCAGGACGAACGCUGGCGGCGCGCCUAACACAUGCAAGUCGAACGAGAGAUGAAGAGCUUGCUCUUCAGAUCGAGUGGCGAACGGGUGAGUAACGCGUGAGGAACCUGCCUCAAAGAGGGGGACAACAGUUGGAAACGACUGCUAAUACCGCAUAAGCCCACGGCUCGGCAUCGAGCAGAGGGAAAAGGAGUGAUCCGCUUUGAGAUGGCCUCGCGUCCGAUUAGCUAGUUGGUGAGGUAACGGCCCACCAAGGCGACGAUCGGUAGCCGGACUGAGAGGUUGAACGGCCACAUUGGGACUGAGACACGGCCCAGACUCCUACGGGAGGCAGCAGUGGGGAAUAUUGCACAAUGGGGGAAACCCUGAUGCAGCGACGCCGCGUGGAGGAAGAAGGUCUUCGGAUUGUAAACUCCUGUUGUUGAGGAAGAUAAUGACGGUACUCAACAAGGAAGUGACGGCUAACUACGUGCCAGCAGCCGCGGUAAAACGUAGGUCACAAGCGUUGUCCGGAAUUACUGGGUGUAAAGGGAGCGCAGGCGGGAGAACAAGUUGGAAGUGAAAUCCAUGGGCUCAACCCAUGAACUGCUUUCAAAACUGUUUUUCUUGAGUAGUGCAGAGGUAGGCGGAAUUCCCGGUGUAGCGGUGGAAUGCGUAGAUAUCGGGAGGAACACCAGUGGCGAAGGCGGCCUACUGGGCACCAACUGACGCUGAGGCUCGAAAGUGUGGGUAGCAAACAGGAUUAGAUACCCUGGUAGUCCACACCGUAAACGAUGAUUACUAGGUGUUGGAGGAUUGACCCCUUCAGUGCCGCAGUUAACACAAUAAGUAAUCCACCUGGGGAGUACGACCGCAAGGUUGAAACUCAAAGGAAUUGACGGGGGCCCGCACAAGCAGUGGAGUAUGUGGUUUAAUUCGACGCAACGCGAAGAACCUUACCAAGUCUUGACAUCCCUUGACGAUGCUGGAAACAGUAUUUCUCUUCGGAGCAAGGAGACAGGUGGUGCAUGGUUGUCGUCAGCUCGUGUCGUGAGAUGUUGGGUUAAGUCCCGCAACGAGCGCAACCCUUAU
rnacentral:rRNA from 1 species